CUGCACUGUAGAGCAACUCACUCCACUUUAUCCCAGAUAAGCGGAUGAGCUGAGCAAGCGACAAGAUGGCCACGCACAAGGUCAGGCUGCAUGGGGCCAAAAUUACCGUGCUCGACAAGCUUACCUCCUACCUUUUUGGCGAAACUGGAGGCAAUAUUUGAAGCCUUUUUGGUGAAACUAAAACUGAGACUACAGGCAACAUGAGGCACCUGAUUAUCAGUCCAUAAGAGAUUGGGGGCAAAGCCAGUGGGCCGCUUGACAGAGCUAGACUCCCUGCCCAUAGAGAGGAGUUUGAGGAUAAGGAGAUUCCCCUGAGGUGCAUCGACUACAAACUAC